rnacentral:rRNA from 1 species
UACGUAGGGUGCAAGCGUUGUCCGGAAUUAUUGGGCGUAAAGAGCUCGUAGGCGGUUGCGGAAGUCGGAUGUGAAAUACCGGGGCUCAACUCCGGGGCGCCAUUCGAUACUCCGCUGACUCGAGUCCGGUAGGGGAAGGUGGAAUUCCUGGUGUAGCGGUGAAAUGCACAGAUAUCAGGAGGAACACCGGUGGCGAAGGCGGCCUUCUGGGCCGGUACUGACGCUGAGGAGCGAAAGCUAGGGGAGCGAACAGG